CCUACGGGCGGCAGCAGUGAGGAAUAUUGGUCAAUGGACGAGAGUCUGAACCAGCCAAGUAGCGUGAAGGAUGACUGCCCUAUGGGUUGUAAACUUCUUUUAUAUGGGAAUAAAAUGUUCCACGUGUGGGAUUUUGUAUGUACCAUAUGAAUAAGGUUCGGCUAACUCCGUGCCAGCAGCCGCGGUAAUACGGAGGAUCCGAGCGUUAUCCGGAUUUAUUGGGUUUAAAGGGAGCGUAGGUGGAUUGUUAAGUCAGUUGUGAAAGUUUGCGGCUCAACCGGAAAAUUGCAGUUGAAACUGGCAGUCUUGAGUACAGUAGAGGUGGGCGGAAUUCGUGGUGUAGCGGUGAAAUGCUUAGAUAUCACGAAGAACUCCGAUUGCGAAGGCAGUUCACUGGACUGCAACUGACACUGAGGCUCGAAAGUGUGGGUAUCAAACAGGAUUAGAUACCCUAGUAGUC
rnacentral:rRNA from 1 species